CCCAUGCAGUUUAUCGAGCAUGAAUAGGAUAUGCAGGAAAAAACUCAGAGUCGGGAUGUGAUGGCCCACCAUAAAUAGAACGAAAUUAGGAUCGAAGCGACCAUGCCUAUUUGGUUGUUAGUGAAUGAGAGUAGCGUCUAGCCCCGCGUCAGACUACUGGCU
rnacentral:sRNA from 1 species